GACGAACGCUGGCGGCGUGCUUAACACAUGCAAGUCGAACGGAAAGGCCCUGCUUUUGUGGGGUGCUCGAGUGGCGAACGGGUGAGUAACACGUGAGUAACCUGCCCUUGACUUUGGGAUAACUUCAGGAAACUGGGGCUAAUACCGGAUAGGAGCUCCUGCUGCAUGGUGGGGGUUGGAAAGUUUCGGCGGUUGGGGAUGGACUCGCGGCUUAUCAGCUUGUUGGUGGGGUAGUGGCUUACCAAGGCUUUGACGGGUAGCCGGCCUGAGAGGGUGACCGGCCACAUUGGGACUGAGAUACGGCCCAGACUCCUACGGGAGGCAGCGGUGGGGAAUAUUGCACAAUGGGCGGAAGCCUGAUGCAGCAACGCCGCGUGCGGGAUGACGGCCUUCGGGUUGUAAACCGCUUUCGCCUGUGACGAAGCAUGAGUGACGGUAAUGGGUAAAGAAGCACCGGCUAACUACGUG
rnacentral:rRNA from 1 species